rnacentral:tRNA from 1 species
GGGCCUGUAGCUCAGCAGGACAGAGCACUGGCCUCCGGAGCCAGUUGUCGGGGGUUCAAAUCCCCCCAGGCCCA